rnacentral:rRNA from 1 species
UGGGGAAUUUUGGACAAUGGGCGAAAGCCUGAUCCAGCAAUGCCGCGUGAGUGAAGAAGGCCUUCGGGUUGUAAAGCUCUUUUGUCAGGGAAGAAACGGUGAGAGCUAAUAUCUUUUGCUAAUGACGGUACCUGAAGAAUAAGCACCGGCUAACUACGUGCCAGCAGCCGCGGUAAUACGUAGGGUGCAAGCGUUAAUCGGAAUUACUGGGCGUAAAGCGUGCGCAGGCGGUUUUGUAAGUCUGAUGUGAAAUCCCCGGGCUCAACCUGGGAAUUGCAUUGGAGACUGCAGGGCUAGAAUCUGGCAGAGGGGGGUAGAAUUCCACGUGUAGCAGUGAAAUGCGUAGAUAUGUGGAGGAACACCGAUGGCGAAGGCAGCCCCCUGGGUCAAGAUUGACGCUCAUGCACGAAAGCGUGGGGAGCAAACAGGAUUAGAUACCCCCGUAGUCCCUGAGCGGGCUGGCAAGGCGCAU